AGAGUUUGAUCAUGGCUCAGGACGAACGCUGGCGGCGCGCCUAACACAUGCAAGUCGAACGAGCGAGAGAGAGCUUGCUUUCUCGAGCGAGUGGCGAACGGGUGAGUAACGCGUGAGGAACCUGCCUCAAAGAGGGGGACAACAGUUGGAAACGACUGCUAAUACCGCAUAAGCCCACGGGUCGGCAUCGACCAGAGGGAAAAGGAGUAAUCCGCUUUGAGAUGGCCUCGCGUCCGAUUAGCUAGUUGGUGAGGUAACGGCCCACCAAGGCGACGAUCGGUAGCCGGACUGAGAGGUUGAACGGCCACAUUGGGACUGAGACACGGCCCAGACUCCUACGGGAGGCAGCA
rnacentral:rRNA from 1 species